UUCUGAGUGGUGUACAUCAUUUUCUUAUGGUUUGGCCUACCUUAUGAUUGGAUCCGCCAUAUUUUCCCCUUGUAUGAUAAUCAUGGUCAGGUGCAUCUGUUGCAUCGUUUGGAUGUCAAACAAAUACCAUGGUGCCCACAAUUCUCGAUUAUCCACUUCUUUAAAGAAAAAUUGAAUAAGGGCAUUUAUGCAAUUUCUUCCCUUAAGGAGCAACAUCAGAGAAUUUUGGUUCUUCAAGACACUAUUUGGUAAAAUCUCAACUGCUGUGGAAUUUUAUGUUAGUUUUAGGGAAGAACUUGUACCAACUGUACAGAAAUCAGGGCACACUUUUAAUGGGAUAACAUGCUGGCAAUUAAUUUGCCAUGUGAUGUUUCAUGGUUUUGGAUGUCAUGCGCACCGUAGUCAUAUUAGUUUUGGUGGAAUUGGUGCGACUAGGAGUCUAGGACCACCAAUAUGUUAAAAUCGGAUGACUAAGUCCCUAAUUGGUCCGACUCGUCUCAAGACGAGUCUGGUCAAACCGUACAAUUCAACCUGAUAUGGACCUAAUUAGGAAGAGUUGCACAAUGCAACCUGUCGGAAGCUUAUAAAUACGAGGAUGGUUUUUCCAAAGCCCAUUUUCACCCUUUUUUCUUGUUUCCAAAGUUCAAUAGGAGAGUAAGAUUUUGAAGACUAUUGCCAUCCGUUUCAAGAUAAAUGCGCUUUCAAAUCUUUGGAUUUGCCUUCCAAAGUUUCAGAUGGAAAAUACCCAUUGCGGUUUCUCAUCUUUGAGAUAAGAUUUCUUUUUUAAACAUUUUGGUGUUUUAGCUGGUUUCAACUCAAGAUCAUAGAUUCAUAGAUCCAUGGGUUUGGGAUUAGAUCCGUGAAUGGAUGAAUGGUAUUUAAAAUAUUUUUUUAUAUUAAAAUAGUCUAAAGAUGUUAAAAAAAAA